UACGUAGGUGGCAAGCGUUAUCCGGAUUUAUUGGGUGUAAAGGGCGUGUAGGCGGGAGCGCAAGUCAGAUGUGAAGACUCAGGGCUCAACCCUGAGCCUGCAUUUGAAACUGUGUUUCUUGAGUGCUGGAGAGGCAAUCGGAAUUCCGUGUGUAGCGGUGAAAUGCGUAGAUAUACGGAGGAACACCAGUGGCGAAGGCGGAUUGCUGGACAGUAACUGACGCUGAGGCGCGAAAGCGUGGGGAGCAAACAGG
rnacentral:rRNA from 1 species